rnacentral:SRP_RNA from 1 species
CCGUGCUACACGGGGAGGUAGCGGUGCCCUGUAACCCGCAAUCCGCUAUAGCGGGGUGGAAGCCUGGCCGAGGCGUGCGGGUGUGGAACCGGAAGCCUGGACGGGCGUUGAGGAUCGGGUCCUGUGCGACGGAAGCCUGUGAACCCCGUCAGGUCCGGGAGGAAGCAGCGGUAAGCAGUCACUUCCGGGUGCCACAGGGAAGCCCGGUCUGAGCCUUGCGUCAUGCUUUACGACCAGAUCCGCAGCGUCGGAGCCAGGUGCACGG